ACACCAGCACGCACACAGACAAGAACCACGGCGCCGUUAGCCAAGACAUCCGCACAAACUAACUUUGGUGUACACAAUGACAAAAUAAUAAUGCCAAUAAAAACAAAUGCUCUGGAUAAUUUUGAAAUCAUCGUGACAGCAAGUGAUGAUAAAUUAACAGUAGACGCAAAUCUUUACCUUUGUGCUUAAACCCUCCAAUAAAUUCAUUUGAUUGUGAAAAGUGAGUCAGUUUUGUUUUAUUUAUUUUAGUUGUGGCUGUUAAAAGUAACGGCGAGUUGGUGUUGGGGCUUCAAACUCGACAAUGAGGAGCAAAAGCAACUUCUUAAAUCUCAUUUUAGGCCAUUUUUAAAAACUGAGCUCCACGGGCGUGCACACACGUACACGAUUCUCAGCCAUGCAGGAAAAGUAUAACGGAACUUUGAACAAAUUGCUGCCGCUGAAUUAUUGGGGCGCACACUUGCUUUCCGAAAUUCCAGAUCAAUUAGAAUCACGCAAGUGAAAAUGUGCAAAAGAAAACGUGGUUGCGGACGCGCUGAAUGUGUGAAUUGCGCACGAACAAAUGCUGAAAGAUUGUUGCGGGAGCAGCUGAUCAAAUAUGUGCGGAUAAGUUGAAAACGACAAGCGGUCGUGUCACUUGUUUUGCAGUUUGGCACGAGUGGACAGACACCAAGUGGACCGACCGGGCGGACCAGCGUCGUCUGGUCGUCUCGGAGCACAGCGGGGCUGCGCCGAACAAAACGCCGGGCAAAGAGCGCCUGGUACAGGCUACGAGGAGACUCCACUGGCCGCCUCUGCGCAUGCAUGGAUUUUUUUUUUUUUUUCCUCCUCCAAACCAACUCAUCCACCUGCGCAGUGCACACGGAGGAGAAGCCCCCUGAAACGCACGCCACCUAUCUUCACGGGAGGGGAUAAUUGAGGGGAGCCAAACGUGAGCAUCUUCUGGCUUCAACUUAUUUAUUUAUUUUUUUUAUUUCCUCCACCCCAACCGCCCCCCCCCACCCGACACGCUCUUGUUGCCCCCUCCUGCUCUUCUCGCUUUCUCCAUCCUCCUCUUUUGCACAGUGAAACCAACUAUGUCCACGCGGAGUUUGUGUGUGUGUGCAACGCGUGUGAGCGUGUGUGCGCGGGGAGAAACUUGAAGAUCGUCCACGGCGGCCGCAGUUGCACCUUUGCAACAUCAAACUGAGCAUCUCUCGUCUGACUUGGGCUCUGAUAGCUGCCAACGCCACGGCGCAGAGAUUGACAGACAAUUACAGAGCGGGAGGCGACGGCCGGGGCGUGUGAUGUGUAAGGGCUCCUCCAACAUGUAAAAUGAAGAGUUUACAUUUGUUUCUGAUCUCUCUCGCUCAGACAAGAAGGAGAACAAGCUAGCCGAGGCACAAACAAAUGUUUGCACUGAGAGCUAUUUUUUUUGCAUCUCCUCAGCUAUCCCCCCCCCCCACACACACACACACAAGCACACACACACACAAUCAAACAUUCCCACGCGGACAAAAUCAGAAACAAACAGCUGCAUGUGAAAUGAAGCUGCUGAUGCUGGAUUGAGUCAAUAAAGAAUUUAAGACAA